GUGGGGAAUCUUGCACAAUGGAGGAAACUCUGAUGCAGCGACGCCGCGUGAGUGAUGAAGCCCUUCGGGGUGUAAAGCUCUUUCGACAGGAACGAUAAUGACGGUACCUGAAGAAGAAGCUGCGGCUAACUACGUGCCAGCAGCCGCGGUAAUACGUAGGCAGCAAGCGUUGUUCGGAAUUACUGGGCGUAAAGAGUGUGUAGGCGGUGCUCUAAGUUUGGUGUGAAAUCUCCCGGCUCAACCGGGAGGCUGCAUCGAAUACUGGAAUGCUAGAGGGUGGGAGAGGUAAGCGGAAUUCCUGGUGUAGCGGUGAAAUGCGUAGAUAUCAGGAGGAACACCUGUGGUGUAGACAGCUUACUGGACCACUUCUGACGCUGAGACACGAAAGCGUGGGUAGCAAACAGGAUUAGAAACCCCAGUAGUCC
rnacentral:rRNA from 1 species